AUGCUUCUCCUAAAGACUAAGCCAUGCAUGCCUUUGAAUAGAAGAGCAAUCUCUCCGAAUCUGCGAACGGCUCCGCAUACCAGUUGUAACCUAUAGCUAGUCAGUCUUGAGACGGGGCCUUCGGGUCUCUCUCUUGACUAUAAAUGGAUAACCGUGGUAAUUCUGAGGCUAAUACAAGAACGUAAAACUCGAUCGACCGCGCAAGUGGAAGAUCGGGGGUUGUGUGACGAUCCUGCAACACAACUUACCGGACAAGAACACAUGAUCAGACCACCAUACCAAACGGCCUUGAGACCGGGAAACCUUCGGGUAGUACUGGGCUCUCGAUCGGGUGGCUCUAGUUAUGCGCUUCUGACCUAUCAACUAGAUGGCAGCGUAAAAGACAUGCUAUGGUAACAACGGGUACAGAGGAUAAGGGUUCGAUCCUGGAGAGUGGGCCUGAGAGAUUGCUCACACUUCUAAGGAAGGCAGCAGGCGCGUAACGUUCCCAAUGGGUAACACCUGAGGGCGUUAGGGGACAUAUGAAUAUCUGCCUUAUGGUGGAUAAUUCAAAUGGGACUGUUCUAAACAGCCUA
rnacentral:rRNA from 1 species